rnacentral:rRNA from 1 species
AUUGAACGCUGGCGGCAGGCCUAACACAUGCAAGUCGAACGAGUGGCGGACGGGUGAGUAAUAUCUGGGAAACUGGCUGUUGGCGGGGGAAAACUACUGGAAAAGGUAGCUAAUACCGCAUACCAUCAGAUGUGCCCAGAGGGGAUUAGCUUCUUGGUGGGGUAACGGUUCACUAAGGCGACGAUCCCUAGCUGGUCUGAGAGGAUGACCGGCCACACUGGAACUGGGACACGGUCCAGACUCCUACGGGAGGCAGCAGUGGGGAAUAUUGCACAAUGGGCGCAAGCCUGAUGCAGCCAUGCCGCGUGUAUGAAGAAGGCCUUCGGGUUGUAAAGUACUUUCAGCGGGGAGGCGUUACCCGCAGAAGAAGCACCGGCUAACUCCGUGCCAGCAGCCGCGGUAAUAC